rnacentral:tRNA from 1 species
GCCUUCUUGGGACAGUGGUCGACUCCGCUUGACUUGUAAUCAAGAUACUUCGGUGCAACGUAGGUUCGAAUCCUACAGAAGGCUCA